rnacentral:lncRNA from 7 species
GGAACUUUGUAAAGGCCUUGUAGUGUUACCCUGCCUCGCCUCCUCGGUAGAGGUGUAUGGGAAGUCGCGAUCCCUUGGCAGAUGGGUAACAUGACUUGUGGGUAAAGAUGCGCAACCUCUGCAGAGUGUAAAACUGGUAUACUAGCCGUGCUCACGGUCAUGAGCAGCUCGGACACUCACAUGAUUAAAUUAUGGAACUUAAACUCAAUUUGUCAUAUGCAUUGCAUCGCAGGUGAGGUUGUUACUUUUGUUCUACUACUUAAUUGGGUUGGUAUUUACUUAUACUUAGUAAUUGCUAAUAAAAUUUUGACCAACUUUAAAAGCAAUGCUCAGCUCUAACCAUUCUCUUUGGUAAGCCUUACACUUCACGUGAGCUCCCACCUUUGGCGAGUUCAUGCACAUUAUUCCCCACAACUUGUUGAGCGAUGAACGUAUGUGAGCUCACUCUUGCUGUCUCACACCCCCCACAGGUCAAGAACAGGUACCGCAGGAUGAGGCGCUUGGAGGAUGCUGUGAUGAGUUCGUGAGUGGUCUAGGUCGUCGUCUCCCAGUCAACUUUGGGUUGCUGGACCGUUGUCUCCUUAUAAUGUAAUUAUUUAUUUUGUAUAGAACUCCUAUUAUAUAGUAAAGAUGUGAC